CUUGUUUUGAAACCAUUAACUUCGUUGACGGAGCAUAUAAGCUAACUGGCUAAAUUAAGUUUAAAAUCAGAUCCGGCACAUGUUAUAGCAGUUCGGUUUGCACAACUCGGUGAGACUUGGAAACGGUUAUAGACGAUAUUCUAGCCAGAG